GACGUAGGGCGCGAGCGUUGUCCGGAAUUACUGGGCGUAAAGCGCGUGUAGGCGGCCCUGUAAGUCGGGUGUGAAAUCCCACGGCUCAACCGUGGAAGUGCACUCGAUACUGCGAGGCUAGAGUCCCGGAGAGGAUGGUGGAACUCUCGGUGUAGAGGUGAAAUUCGUAGAUAUCGAGAAGAACACCGGGUGGCGAAGGCGGCCAUCUGGACGGUGACUGACGCUGAGACGCGGAAAGCGUGGGGAGCAAACAGG
rnacentral:rRNA from 1 species